rnacentral:rRNA from 1 species
AUGGACGCCGCCGCAGAGGGAGUGGAAGAAUUAUUAACCAACUACCCCCAAUUCGUGGAUUAUCUUGAGAAUCGAGCACCGGAGGUCCCUCCGGUUGAAGACGACCGCAUGGAUUGGAUUGUCUCCCGAAUCAUCUCCCUUCUCCCCACACCCUUCGUCCCCGCAGCCGACUCCGACGACGACCAUUUCUCCCUCACCUCCUCCGACUCCGAGGACGCCGCCGCCGCCACCGACCGGCACGCCAUGCAGGAUGGUGGCGGCCAGGACCACAUCAGCGACCUCGUGGAUGACCUGCUCUCCAACAUCGUCUCCCGCCUCCCCACCAAGGAAGCCGCGCGGACAAUGGUCCUGUCUACCCGCUGGCGCUGCGUGUGGGCGGCGACUCCGCUCCUCCUCGACGACGCCCAUCUCAAGGCCGGGCUCGGCAAUUUCAACGCCGUGCGCGCCAUUUCGCGCUGCGUCGCCGCUCACCCCGGCCCCGUGCGUGCGGUGCGCAUCACCCGCACCUCCUUCCACCGGCAGGAGUACACGCUCGAGCCCCUGGUCGCCAGCCUUGCCGACAAGAACAUCCAGGACCUCAUCCUCUUCAACCGCCCCUGGCCGCUCGACAUGCCGCUCCCCGACAACAUCCUCAGCUGUGCCUCCCUCACCCGCCUCUACAUCGGCGUUUGA